UACGUAGGGCGCAAGCGUUAUCCGGAAUUAUUGGGCGUAAAGAGCUCGUAGGCGGUUUGUCGCGUCUGCCGUGAAAGUCCGGGGCUCAACUCCGGAUCUGCGGUGGGUACGGGCAGACUAGAGUGAUGUAGGGGAGACUGGAAUUCCUGGUGUAGCGGUGAAAUGCGCAGAUAUCAGGAGGAACACCGAUGGCGAAGGCAGGUCUCUGGGCAUGUACUGACGCUGAGACACGAAAGCGUGGGGAGCAAACAGG
rnacentral:rRNA from 1 species